GCCCACAGCUGCAGAUAGAGAGGUGGAGAGAUAGAGAGGUGGAGAGAUAGCGAGGUGGAGAGGUGGAGAGAUAGAGAGGUGGAGAGAUAGAGAGGUGGAGAGGUGGAGAGGUGGAGAGGUGGAGAGAUAGAGAGAUGGAGAGGUGGAGAGGUGGAGAGAUGGAGAGGUGGAGAGGUGGAGAGGUGGAGAGAUAGAGAGAUGGAGAGGUGGAGAGGUGGAGAGAUGGAGAGGUGGAGAGAUAGAGAGGUGGAAAGGUGGAUAGAUGGAGAGCUGGAGAGAUAGAGAGGUGGAGAGGUGGAG
ensembl:lncRNA